AGCGAACGUUAGCGGCGGGCUUAACACAUGCAAGUCGAGCGAGAAAGGGGCUUCGGCCCUGAGUACAGCGGCGGACGGGUGAAUAACACGUAGGUAACCUUCCUUCCAGCGGGGGACAACGGUCCGAAAGGACCGCUAAUACCGCAUACGUUCCCUGGGACCCUGGUCCCGGGGAGGAAAGCUCCGCAAGGGGCACUGGAUGAGGGGCCUGCGUAGCAUCAGCUAGUUGGUGGGGUAAUGGCCUACCAAGGCUAAGACGCUUAGCUGGUCUGAGAGGAUGAUCAGCCACACUGGGACUGAGACACGGCCCAGACUCCUACGGGAGGCAGCAGUGGGGAAUAUUGGACAAUGGGCGCAAGCCUGAUCCAGCCACGCCGCGUGAGUGAUGAAGGCCUUCGGGUCGUAAAGACUCUGUGGGAGGGACGGAAUGGCGCCGUGAAGAGCGGCGAGUGACGGUA
rnacentral:rRNA from 1 species